AUUCGACAGCGUCAGUGCUGAAAAAGUUGUUGAAAGAAAGACUAUUGGAAGAAUUAUCUCGGUCUUUAUGGUCGAUAUAACACGGAGAAAAAAAAUAAAAAAAUGUUUAUUUACUUGCCAUAAUGGUCAAAACAUUUAUGAAACAUUUUUUUUAACACUAAGAAAUUUAAUAAUAAUAAACAUUAAUAAGCACUCAUUUAGUUUACUCAAAUCAAGUUUUUUUUUUAUAUACUUCAUAGCUUUGACGAAAAAGAAAAUCGUAAUAAGCCGAUUCUAUGAGAAAAUCGAUGGAUAAAUUAUCCGCAUAUUGUUCCCUCUAUAUACGUAGUUACGAUACGAAUUUUUUACAAAAUAAUUUGUUUACAGUUUAACAUAAAAAAUGCAAUAAUAACCGGGAGAUUUUCGUAGAAACUCAUUAUUAUUGACAUUUUUUCAAGUACAAAUCAAUUUUCUCAUUUUUCUGGGAAUUUCUCUAGGGCUAUACUUAUGGUAAAUGAGAGAAUAAUUUAUGGAAUGAGUACGGUUUUCUGUCACAUUUAAGGUUCUCCCUGUAGCUGUGAACUGUUGACUUGAAUCAUUGUGAAAUUAAUACGAGCAGUAUCAGAAAGACCUGAAUCAAAUGGCAGUCAAAAUGUUGAAAUUUAUUUCAUUACUAUAUGGACUAGCUCCCUGUGAACUCAUAACACAGAGUACUUGUACAAAAGUUGAACUAUCGUUUCCUCGCAAAAGAUCUGCUUAUCAUAUAAUUUUAGUAAUUCUUCUAAUAUCUGUUAAUAGUGUGUACAUAGUAAACGAAUGCAGACUCUCUCCUGUGAUCGAGUGGAAAAGUGAUAAACUUAUUAAAGUCUGCGUCGUUAUUGUUUCUAAUUUUCUAGGAGCAGCAACCGUCAUGAUUGUCUACAGUAACCGGAAAAAUUUGAUCGAAAUAGUGAAUUUAUGGAAUGAAAUCACCCUUAAAAAAUACCACUUACGAAUGCUUAUCAUUGCAAUAUCCAAUUCCAAUCCAAGUUUCAUAGACUCAGUAUAUCAUCGAAAUGGGAAAAUUGGAAUUUUAUUGAGAAUGUUAUUUGGAGUAUUAUUGCAAGCAGGUUUUGUCUUUUCUACCGUAAUAACUGGGCCAAUAACCCAUGUUAUUAUAUACAUUGUGAGCGACAUUAUUUGCAGCUUUGUGCUGAUACAGUAUUUUACGAUAUUGAAUUAUCUGAAUGAUGAACUGAUCUACUGGAAUGAGAAUUUAAUUAUUCUGGGCAAUGCCCUGAUAAAUUAUCCAUCAAAUGAUUUAUAUAUUCUAAGAGGCGUAGAUGUAAUUCUUGAAGCCAGGAGAAUCUUCGUUAGAAUGAUCGUCUUGAUCGAGUUGUUCGCCUCGCCAGUAAUUCUGACAGCUGUUUCCUGGUGCUUUAUUUUUAUGAUGAAUAACACUCAAAAAUUUCUAAUUCUAUAUAUACGUCAGGGAAAAAGUGAUGUUUCUACUAUUAAUGUCGCUGGAAGCGCUUUUGGUUUUCUACUCAAUACCUACUCAAUGCUGGCAUUAUGUUUGAUGGUCGAAUGGAUAACUUCAGAAGUGAACAGAACGAAGAAGGUCCUUUCAGAUAUUCUUUCGAGACAUUUGCUGAAGGAGCGACAAAGACCGUCGCUAAGGAAUUAUGCCCUCGGAAUGCUGCAUGAGAAUGUCACUUUUAGGGCUUUUGGCUUAUUCAGUUUGGAUAGCUCUUUGUUCAUGUCGAUCGGCAAUGCGGUAUUUAUGUACCAAAUAGUUAUCCAAGAAUUUCAAAACAAUUGAUGAUGGAUACAAAUUAUAGAACGACGAUGACCAAAUUGGUAGUUGGGGUGUUAUGAAAAGUACUGAACUAACUGUGUUGGACUUCAACUUGAAAUUCUGAAGAGAUGAGGGGUGCUUUGAGGAACUUACCUAAUAGCUGAACAGCUACAAUAAUAAUAAGAAUUAGACAGUGGGUAUCAAUGAGGUAUCCAAACAUGUGAUUACCCACUAAAGCUCCAAGUCUACCACAGAAGGCACAUAAUGCGGCCGCGAU